rnacentral:rRNA from 1 species
GACGAACGCUGGCGGCAUGCCUAACACAUGCAAGUCGAACGAAACCUUCGGGUCUAUGGGCGCACCUGUGCUUAACGCGGGGUGACCUGCCCUUAGGUUCGGAAUAACUCCCCUUGAGGGGUCCUAAUACCGGUGAAUGUCUUCGGACCAAAGAGUUAUCGCUUUUGGGUGGGCGCUCGUUGGAUUCGUUAGUUGGUAGUGUAAAAGCCGACCAAGGCGACGUUGCAUAGCUGGUGUGAGAGCAUGAUCAGCCACACUGGGACUGAGACACGGCCCAGAGUGCUACGCGAGGGAGCAGUGGGGAAUAUUGGACAAUGGGCGAAAGCCUGAUCCAGCAAUGCCGCGUGAGUGAUGAAGGGCUUAGGGUUGUACAGCUCUCUUACACGGGAUGAUAAUGACAGUACCGGGAGAAUAAGCUCCGGCUAACUACGUG